ACGGAAGGCAGCAGUGGGGAAUCUUGCCCAAUGGGCGAAAGCCUGAGGCAGCGACGCCGCGUGCGGGAAGAAGGCCUUCGGGUUGUAAACCGCUUUCAGGAGGGACGAAGCCACUCGGGUUAAUAGCCCAGAGGGUGACGGUACCUCCAGAAGAAGCCCCGGCUAACUACGUGCCAGCAGCCGCGGUAAUACGUAGGGGGCUAGCGUUGUCCGGAUUUAUUGGGCGUAAAGAGCGUGUAGGCGGCCAGGUAGGUCAGCUGUGAAAACUCGAGGCUCAACCUCGAGAUGUCGGCUGAAACCAUCUGGCUAGAGUCCGGAAGAGGAGAAUGGAAUUCCCGGUGUAGCGGUGAAAUGCGCAGAUAUCGGGAAGAACACCCGUGGCGAAGGCGGUUCUCUGGGACGGUACUGACGCUGAGACGCGAAAGCGUGGGGAGCGAACAGGAUUAGAUACCCUGGUA
rnacentral:rRNA from 1 species